AUUCUUAUUUUUUAAAGGAGCUUGACAGUCGAUUCUGUUUCCCAGGUUUAAGGUUCCUUCAAACUGUUCAACUGAAAUUAGCAAAUGCUCACCAAGGACCCAGGUUGAGCCCCCAGUGCUUGCCAGAGAUGAUCACAGAAAAAGAAACAGAAUCUCAGAGAGGUGGAGCCAAUUGACUGAAGCCACACAGAAUAUCAGCUGGAGGCAGGAUUCUAACACGAUCCCACCUGAGUUCAGACAUGCGCACGUAAUCCCCAGCACAUACCAAGAGAAACAGACAUUCAACAUAUCAAGGGAUAGGCGUUUCUCCCCGAGCCCAGACUUGUGGGCUGUGGCUCUUGUGUCCCUUAAGACCAGUGCUUCUGGAACUGUAAUGUGCAUCGAAUCACCCCAGGAUCCUGUUAAAAUGCAGGUUAGGGUUCCUGGCUGGGCCUGAGAUUUUGCAUUCCUACAAGCUCCGAGGCGAUGCCCAUGCUUGUAGUCUGCAGACAGUACUUUGAAUGCCUGAAACUACCUCCCAGACAUGUCCCACCUUCCUGGGACUGGCCUUCUGGUUUCAGACAUGUGGGUGAUUGGCAUUGAAAUCAUUCAGUGCACAUAAGAAAUGCGCACAAAUGCAGUGCUCCAGGGAAGAAAAAACGCAUCACGGGACCCAAUAGGAAAACUGCCACGCAGCGACACCAAGCCAAGGAGAGCUUUGCUCCUGCUGCUUUCCUCAAGGAGGAGCCUGUUUCCUGCCGUAAGUGAAGUCUGGGGUGCAAGAGACCAAGCAAUGCACCUCAGACCCAGAGGAUUCACUGAGUUUGAUGCUCCCAGAGAGUCGGCUCCAUUGCCAGCAUCUCAGGAACCAGCGGGUCGUGACUUCUUUUCUUUGGUGGUAGGAUGAUGAUGUUAAUGGUAAUGAUGACAAAGAUGACUAUGAAGUAGAAGGGGAUUUGAAGAGGGAGAAGUAGAGGAAGAGAAGGAGAAGGAGCGAGAUGAGGAAACCAAGCCUCAAGGAAGUUGAGUCUCCUGUCCAAGCCUACGCAGUUGGCAAGUUGCAGAUCCGGAGUACAGUACGAGACUCUCUCAUCUGUGUCUCCAAGGGACACCGUGACCCAUCAUGGCCUCUUUCCGCUGGGUUCAGGCAUAGUCUCCGAAUUCUUCCUGUGCCAUCACCCAUGGCUCCGCAUCAACCCCACCUUUGCAGGUAGCAGGUGCUAUCUACUGCCAGCCUGAAGCCAGGCUAAGAGGAAGAAAAAGAAGGAAAUGCCUGUAGAACCAUCCUAUGUAAAGAACACUUUGAGGAAAUGGUAGGCAAAUGCAGAAAACUGCAUCCUGCUCAGUCAAGCCCUGCAGGAAACACACACACAAGCAUGUGCACACACACAAGCAUGUGCACACACACGUGGCCCUUCAAUGUCACCUCAGCUGUGGGUUAGGAGCUGCACCUGUCCGCACCAGGUGUUACAACCUUCUGCUCCACCUCUAAACAGCUGAUGGCUUGGAGGUGAGCUCUCAAAUGUCAACAGGUUUUGCAGACUCCAGUGGUCAGCGUUAUGUGAGCAGUUCAGACUUUCUACAGGGAUCUCAGGGGCCCAGGGUCACGUAGACCAGAACUUGACCUGGAGGCUGGUGUCUCCCAAACUGUUGUGUGGACCCUGCAACCGCUGGAGUGUCCUCAUCUUAACAGUCCCUGCCAUCUCCCAACAAGGGUGUCCACUGGCCCUCCUGGUUGUCCUGUGAGGAAGGCAGGAGUCACUGAUGCUGCUCUGUCAACAGGGACAGACGGAUUACAGCUGGUAAGUGACUUGCCCAGAGUUCUGCAGCUUGGGACUCACAGAGGAGAAGCUGGAAAUCAGGCAGGGUGGCAUCCAGCUCUCUGCUCCUCCUAAGCCAAGCUUUGCAGCAAGGUCCUGCUUCCCUCAUGACCUGAACUCAUUUUGAAUGUAAAGGCAAUGUCAAAGCCCCACAGCUAUUUAUAACAGAGUAUGUGUUCUUAGUUCACUCCUCAGAGAGGAAUAUUGCUAUUGUGAAUACACAGCUACUCAUAACUACCAUCUUAAAAAUCUCUACUCCAAACUAUUUACUAAUGCAUUUAGGUAUUUAUUUUCUUGUAGUGAAAGGAAAUCAAGAUAAUUCUAAAACUGUGGAAGAAAACAAACAAACAAAAAAACUAUAAAGGAGAAAACAGAAGAUUCACAUAUUGUAACCAUUAUUAAUCUCGAAAUAUUUUCCUCCAGGCUCUUGUCUGUGAUAUGCUUAUGCUGAGUGAUACUGUGCUGUGUAUAUGCGGUUUGUACUCAAUGCCAGGUCAUAAGCAUACCAUUUCCUUUUUAUUAAAAAAAUACUUGGCAUACAUCAAAGUAUGUUUGCAUUAAAACUAUGCAAACAUCAGUUUUAAUAAUUGUAUAAAUAUUCUAUCAUAAGGACAUUCCAUAAUUUAUUUAAUCACUUUGGUAGUGUUGGACAUUUAAUUUUUUAAAAAGUCAAGUAAUGCCAUGAUUAAUGCCUGCUUAUAUGAACCUGUUUUCAUUUCCUGAUUAUUUUCUUGGGCCAGAUUCCCAAAAGUGGAAUUACUGAAUAAAGUAGAUAAGUGCUUGUAACACAUUUCUUCACACACACACACACACACACACACACACACCCAUCAACAAAUUGCUUUUCCUGAAGAAGCUUCCAGUAGCGUAUUAGAGAGCCUGUUGCACCACCCCAUCCUCAGCAAUGAGAAUUUCUAAUCUUUGUUACAUUAA